rnacentral:rRNA from 1 species
GACAGAGGUGCCGAGCGUUAGGCGGAAUCACUGGGCUUAAAGCGUGUGUAGGCGGGCGGGCAAGUACCUUGUGAAAUCCCACGGCUCAACCGUGGAACUGCUGGGUAUACUGCCUGUCUUGAGCCAGCCAGGGGCAGUCGGAACAGACGGUGGAGCGGUGAAAUGCGUAGAUAUCGUCUGGAACGCCAAAGGUGAAAACAGACUGCUGGGGCUGUGCUGACGUGAGACACGAAAGCCAGGGGAGCGAACGGG